rnacentral:rRNA from 1 species
AGUGAACGCUGGCGGUAGGCCUAACACAUGCAAGUCGAACGGCAGCACAGUAAGAGCUUGCUCUUACGAGUGGCGAGUGGCGGACGGGUGAGGAAUACAUCGGAAUCUACUUUUUCGUGGGGGAUAACGUAGGGAAACUUACGCUAAUACCGCAUACGACCUACGGGUGAAAGCAGGGGAUCUUCGGACCUUGCGCGAUUGAAUGAGCCGAUGUCGGAUUAGCUAGUUGGCGGGGUAAAGGCCCACCAAGGCGACGAUCCGUAGCUGGUCUGAGAGGAUGAUCAGCCACACUGGAACUGAGACACGGUCCAGACUCCUACGGGAGGCAGCAGUGGGGAAUAUUGGACAAAGGGCGCAAGCCUGAUCCAGCCAUACCGCGUGAGUGAAGAAGGCCUUCGGGUUGUAAAGCCCUUUUGUUGGGAAAGAAAAGCAGCGGGUUAAUACCCCGCUGUUCUGACGGUACCCAAAGAAUAAGCACCGGCUAACUUCGUG